rnacentral:lncRNA from 1 species
UCGUCCUAACUCUUUGUUUAAACUUCUUUGUUGGCAUCUCAAAGUCAAUCAUUCUUUGAAUCUCUUUCACAUUUUUAAGUGAAUUGAAAUAAAUGGACAAAAUUCAUUUAGGAGUCAUUUGCAAAUCAGAUUGUAGUUGGAUGAGAAUGUUGAAUAUUACAGAUUGAUAGUAGUGUCUAAGGUGACUGUUAUAUACAAAUACUUUAAGAACAAACUUUUUUCUUACAUAACGAACGCAAGAAAAUAAGUAAGAAAUCUACUUAUUCUCCGGAAAAACAUUUUCCAAAAAGACAUUUUAGAGGCAUUGUUAUCAUUUGGUAGAUCCAGGUCCAUUGCCGAUUUCUAUGGAACACAUUCUCCAUGGUUCCGAACACACUCUCAGAACUUUGCUCGUUGAUAUCCACUGUUACGGACCUCACUUGUGGAAUUUCAUUGGAUGUGUUGUUGUUGUUUGAGUUGAUAUGCCAUGCUGAAAGUCUUUGUUGUUGUUUGAGUUGAUAUGCCAUGCUGAACGCUUUAUAUGGGCAACAGUAACAGCGAAGUGUUCAAGCUCAUGUGCAUCGCAAAGGCGGCAAACAAACCAGAGAACCAUUCCUAAGAACUUGUUAUUAUGUACUGUGGGCAUAGUCAAACAAAUAAGAUAAAAGAAUUUACUGACUUUAUUUCCUUGUAGAACAUCUCGGACUUAUUGAGGUUUGAACAAUCUACUCAAUUUUCUAGAGUCUCGAGGUGAUUCCAUACGAACAAUUUCUCUUCCCAUAUCUCGCACUAGAUCAUGCAUCACCAAAUAACGCCAAUCCCUUUGGAGAAAGUUCCUUUGGACUAAGGUUGAAAUUGCACUUUCAGAAUAAAAACCACACGCGUUUAAUGUUUUGAUAACUUCAUCCUCAAAAAAUUCAUGGAAGGCACACGCAAUAUCAAGGAAAACACUUUGAGUAUCACAAUCAAGUCCGUCAAAGCUUAUCUUGAGGAUCUUUUGAAUAUCACAAUGAGGAAUUGCUCUUAGUUUUUUGAACUCGUAUCUCCAUUCUUUAACGGAUCUCCCUCACAAUCAAGUCCGUCAAAGCUUAUCUUGAGGAUCUUUUGAAUAUCACAAUGAGGAAUUGCUCUUAGUUUUUUGAACUCGUAUCUCCAUUCUUCUACGGAUCUCCCUUGUAAAUGUGACCCCAAUGUCACAAGAGCUAACGGUAGCCCACCUGAAUAUUUGAUUAUGCUUUGUGCAACCUCAACAUAUUCUUGUGGCGGAGAAGGACUACUAAAAGCAUGACAAGAAAAAAGUUGUUGAGCUUCAUCUUGAUUUAAAUGUUUUGCCUUGUAUCUCUCGUUUUCUCUAAUCCGAGAUAGCAAAUGCUUGUCUCGGGUUGUAAUAAUUAUUAAACUACCAGAACCAAACCAACUUCUUUCUCUUGUUAAGGAUUCUAAUUGGCUCAUAUAAUCCACGUCAUCAAGAAUAAUUAGAACCUUCUUUGACCCAAGUCUUGCUUUGAUUAGAUUGAUGCCUUCAGCAACACUGGUAACUUUGACGUCCUUAGUUUUGAGAAUUUGAUUUAGUAGUUUUUCUUGUAACUUGACUAAACCAAAUGCUUCAGCUUCUGAUCUAACAUCUGAAAGGAAGCAACUAAUAUCAAAGUGUCGAAAUAUUUGAUUGUAGAUAGCUUUAGCCAGAGUUGUUUUUCCUAUUCCACCUACGCCAUAUAUACCAACCAUGCGAACUUCAUCUACACAUCCUUUUUGGAGUAACAACUCUAUAUCUUCGACACGAGAAUCUACUCCAACAGGAUGCCAAGCAAUAUCUAGAGGUGUCUGGUUUACCUCUAGUAGAACUUGUUUUACAAUACUUUCAAUAAAUUUUGAUUCAUGUCUGCAUAUUAGCAAAAACAAAAGUUAGAAUAAAAAAAACAACUUUGAUGUGUGGAAAAAAAAUAAUUGAUAACCAACUUAUGACUUUUGACUGAUAAGUCAGUUUGACCAGUUUAUAAAUAUUACCCGUCAACAACAUUUCGCAAAUCCCAUCCAGAUAAAUUUGCGCUAAUUCAGUAAGUGAAUCCGUCCAUUUUUUCAUUCUCUCAACCUCGAAUGAUCGCUCCUUAAGCAUAGCUAAAACUUCACCAAAGUAUCCGGUUUGCUUGCGUACAUGAGAAGGAUGAACAUCAUAGAAAAUAGGCAAAACUAUUUUCUUUAACUUGUCUUUGCAUUCGAGAAUUUUAACAAGUUCAUCAAGACACCAACUAGACGAAGCAUAAUUUUUCGAGAAAACAACAAUGGAAACUCUAGACUCUUCAAUUGCUUUCUCAAGUUCUUUUGAAAUCACCUUGCCUUUUCUUAAUUCCUCAUCAUCUAUGAAGGUAUUAAUUCCAACUUGACAUAAUCUGGAAUAAAGAUGACCUGUGAAGGUUUUUCGAGUAUCUUCACCUCUGAAACUCAGAAACACGUCAUAAGAGAAGUUGGAAGAAGUAGUUGAUGAUUCCCCUACAACAAAUUGAGUAUUCAUAUUUGAUGACUAAUAUAUGGAAGAAUGAGUAGCUAUCUAUAUAAUAUACCAUGCACAUGCUAUGGUUUUUUCUUGGUAACUUAACUAAUGCUAUAUAUUCUUUAAUUUAUUUUGUACAAUUAUUCUUCAUUAAAUUUUGUUAAUUGGGACUUUUUUUUUAAUGAUUCUUUACCUUUUGUCUCAUCUUUAAUUUGUUAAAGACUUGAAUGAUAAAAAGUAAGAUUCUUUCUUCCUUGAAAACUCAAAAGUUCAUCUCUCCACAUAAUUAUGAUGAUGUUAAGCUUGAUGUCAUAAUCUUUUAAUAAUGGAAUUGAAAACAUCGAUUUGUUCUCAAUUCACAAGUUGGAUUAAACUUUUUUUUCUUUUUUACCUAAUCAAGUAGUAUCGCAUAAAUUAUAACGAUAAUUUUUUAAAAGAAAUUAAAACACUUUGUAUUAAUAGUAAAAACUAGGAAACUUUGUCGUAAUAAAACUAACUACUAGUCUAUUGCAACUAUUAAACAAGUAAACAACUAAUAAAACUAAUUGGAUCACUCUUACUGAACCAUUGGUCUUAAUCCUAUACCUAUCAUACUGAUAUAGAGGUGAAUUCAGAACUUAAAAUUUAUGAAUUCUUAUAAAAAAUAAAUAAAUUUAUGAAUGAUAAUAAUUGAGUUCAUAAUCAAAUUAUAUUAAUUACUUAAUGAUUUUCUUAGUACAUAUAAAUAAUAUGAAUAAAAUCUAUUGAGUUCACACUAACCUCUCUAUAAUAAUCAAAUCAGUAAUUUUGAUCCAAAUUGAACUUUGUAUUUAUGAUAAUAAAUUUGUUUGUUAUGUGUAAAAAUAAUAUCCGGAACCCGAUCCGACCAGUAAAUGCUUUUUAUAAAAUUGAGAACCUAUAAAUAUAAAAUCGAAAUGCCAGUAGCAGUCAUAGUAUUUGGAACAAAGAAAAGCAAGGGAAUAACAAACCAUAUCUUCUGCUCCAACUUCACUUUCUUUAUAGUAUUUUUGAAAGGAAAAAAGGGAAUAGAAUUAAAUAUUAUCAGAAUGCCAACCAAAUAUUGAUUUUGUGCUCUAUCCUUACUGUGGGAAAAAAAAGAAAAUGUAAUUUAUUUGUGCAGUUUUUUAAUCUUCCAGGCGUCCCAUUUUUCUAUGGAUUGAAUUAUCAUAAUAUUUUAUGACAAAAUACUGUAAAAUGGUGUAUGACUGUAUGGGAAAUAUAAUAUUUGUAUAUUCCUCAAAAUCAUGAUAAUACCAUUUGUUUCUAACUUUUUAAUUGUACUAAUUGAAUAGAUUAAUUGUACAAUAUACUUUUGUUUAGUUCAAAGUUUUCCUCUUUGUACUUUAAGCUUGUGUGUCACGUCAGUAUAGGGUGUCCACGAGACACAUUAAGGGUGAGUUGGAGUGUUUAGCUGUUAGUUGAGAUGUCUAUAUGUACACUUUUAAUUAGUUACGCUUGCGAAAUUUUAAUUGGAUGACAAAACUAGGAUCGAAGUUUCGAGUGGUUAGCAUCUGACGGAUGAAAAAAAAAUCUAAAUGAAAAAUACUUUUUAGCGAAUCAGCUUGUAGUUGGAUGAGAAUUUUGAAUAUUACAGAUUGAUAGUAGUGUCUUAGGUGUUAUAUACAAAUACUUUAUGAACAAACGUUUUUCUUACAUAACGAUCACAAGAAAAUAAGUAAGAAACCUACUUAUUCUCCGGAGAAACAUUUUCCAAAAAGACAUUUUAGAGGCAUUGUUAUCAUUUGGUAGAUCCAGGUCCAUGGCCUACUUCUAUGGAACACAUUUUCCAUGGUACAUAACACAUUCUCAGAACUUUGCUCGUUGAUAUCCACUAAUACGGACCUCACUUGUGGGAUUUCACUGGAU